CGAGUGUGUGUGUGUGCGUGUGUGUGUGUGGAGGGAGGGGAGAGUCGCGCUUCACAUCAAACGUCCCCUGUGGCCAUGGCAACAGCUUUGGGAGAGGGGGUGCCAGUCCUCAGGCCAGCAGCGGGCAGCCUGCCACUCCUGCCGGGGUCCAGCGCUCCGCUGGGGUAAGGUCCGGCAUUGGUGCUGAAUCCAGUUGCGCCCGGACCAGAAGAGGGCCAUUUUCUAUUCUUCUACCACCCCACCCGGGCAGGUUAGACCCGGUUCACCUGACCGCUCACAGACGUGUUCUCACUCACACUCGACCGACGCAUGCUGGAGCAGAGCACACCCAGGCAGCACCCACGCAGGACCCACCCACCUGCCCGGUUCCUCGCCUGCAUACACGACAAACUGAGGCUUCAAAGCAGCCGUGAGAGCUUCAGAAAAUGACAAACCCACCACGGAUCCAUAAAGAGGAAAGUGUGGCCAAGAGCAGUGACUCACGCCUGUAAUCCAGGCACUUUGAGAGGUAAAGGUGGGAAGAUCACUUGAGUCCAGGAGUUUGAGACCAGCCUAGGCCCAGCCCUGGACGGACACACAAGCAUCUGUGCUGCCCACCAUCCAGCCAACACAGGCAGCAGGAUAUUUCCUUCUAGUCAGACUGGUGCUGUGCCAGAAGCCACACAGCUGAUAAGUGGUGGAUCCAUCUUGAAUUUGACUUCUAGACACUCCCUUUCAUAAGACAGUGGGAGUUUAAUCAUGGAUAACAAUUAUUCUUUGGAUUAGAACUUAAUUGGAGGACAGAUUGGCAGCUCAGCUAACCUUACUGCCAUCACCAUUAGACAAAUAAAGAUAAAUCUGUACACUACCAGUUUCCUCAAUAUUCUCAUGCAUUCAUUUCUUGGAAUUGACAAACCAUGGACCAGAUGUCAAAAGAUUCUGUGAGGGUCAGGCAUCUUGGAGACGUUACUGAGUUUUUAGAUGGGUUGACAUUUUAAAAUGAAGCUUUUCUGGAAAGGAGAUUGGAUUACAGGUGCUAAGAAACUUGCUUGCUAUAGAUGGCUAAGGAGGCACCUGUCUUGUGCCAACAACCAGACACCUCAAAUGUGGAAUUAGAGAACAGUGCAGUGAAUGAAGUCAUCACACUCACUUCCCACACGUUGGGCAUUCUAAGGAACUUUGGAUCUCUCAUCUUUCAUCCCAAUUGUGUCGCAAAUAUUUCUAAACAUUUGCCAGAUUACCAAGAGAGCUUUAAAAUUUAAUUUCAAGGACUAACCAAGCACCUGAUGGAUUUUGUCGUAUCUGAAGACCAGAGAAGGCUGUUCUUUAAAAAGAAAACAUAAUUUUGGCAAUAGUGACACCAGUUCAGAAAGAAGUUC